AUGAGUGCCUGUCCAACCAUUUUUACGCCAUGUUGCGGCGGUUACGCAGCCGGUCACGAGAUGACCGGAAAUGCGCAUCCCGGGCAACGUGUCAUCACCGAAGUGAAGCCGCUUGCCUCGUCAUACGGGGCAGCGGCUUUUUUG
rnacentral:sRNA from 1 species